rnacentral:lncRNA from 1 species
GGGAUGGCUGGGAGCACAGGGGAUGCCUCAAAGCUACCAGGAUGUUGGCAGGGGAAGCUUGGGUAGUCUCCUUUUCAGCUUUAUCAGCUAGCCUGUUCCCUCAGGCUAUUUCUAUGCCCCUUUCUGAUGCCUGGGACAAUGAAUUAUGACCAUUUUGAGAGGAAGUCAUAUUGCAUUCAAUACAACACGUAUUCUUACCAUAUUUUUGAUGUUUUUUCUUUCAGCAAUCAAUAAUCCCAUCUGCUGUCAGUGUAAAUGUUAGCUAUGGCUCCUUUUGCAAUUUUUAAAGCCUGGGUUAGAGCCUUUACUUCAGCUUUCUGUGCUGAAGUUCCUGGUGGCAAGAUCAUUGCCCUAAUAACAGAGUCCAAGUCCAUUACCACCCCUGCAUACCUGAUUCCAUUCUGAAUGAAGCUGCUCCCAUCCAGGAUGUAGAUACAUUUUGGGUCUGGCCAGGCUAUGUCAGUCAAGUACAGCAUGUUCUGGAUGUGCCCCCAGAACUAUACAGCAGUCAUGCUGCAUGCCUGAGGGUCAAGUAGCAGGGUGGCUGGGUUUAGGGCAGAUGAUUGUUUAUAUCUUAUGUGAGGGAGAUUCAGAAGAAGGGCCUAAAAGUGUACAAGUCUGGUGUUGGAUUCAUGGGGGAGUGGUGAUAACAAGUUCCUGCCCCAUGGUUGUUUUGUCCGCAUCUUUGACUAGUAUGGGAUGGAGGCUGAAACUCUUUUAGAGGAAGAAGUGUGGGGAGUGGGGAGGCUGUAACAAAAAAAGGUCUCAUCCAAACAGGGGGCUUCUUGACCAAGUAUUGCCACGUGAUGAUACAUGACACAUGGUCUGGGUGGUUCCAAGUCUCAUAAACUAAACCUUCACCUAUAAGUGAUGGGGAGAUGGAAAUUCCCCUGCUCAGGCCAUACAUGGGCCAGUCAUUCCUGCAAAGGAUGUUUAGUUUGUGGGGAUAGACAAUGAGACUUCUGUGACUCCUUGAAAGUCUUUAAAAUGGUUCAGGACCAGGCCUAGCGGGGUGCUUUGUGCCUGUUGCAUCCUAGGAAUCAAAGAAAAUUUUGUACCAGAGAACAAAAUGUAUAAGCAGAAUUCACACAGAUAAACACAGGGAAACCAAAACCAAAAGGCUGUCUCAGAAGGUCUUCCUGCCUGCCCAUGGGAGGCCCAUAGACCCACAGUCAGUUCAGAAUCCAGAUGAGAACUAGCAAGUUUUCCUGCUUCUGGUAGGGGGCAGGAGGUUCCUCUAUUGCCCUUGGCAGGUUGACAAGUAUGCUUGUGCUUUGUCCCUUUAUGGCGUCAAGAUAGAAUUAAACCUGAAACAGAAACACAGAUACAAAGAAGACAAACGUAAACCAGGUGCCAGGACUUACUGAUCAAAAAAACCUCCCCACUAUUUGGGUCAGGGGGUCUCCAGCAAAUCCAAGGAUGGGUCUCCAAAUGUAAGGGUCCAGGAUCCACUGUAGAAUGAUACCCUGGACUCAAAUAGUACAUAAACACAAAGAGAGUUUUAUUCUGCAGAAGUCCAGCAUGUUGGGGUCUCACAUUACCAGACUACAGAGACACCAAAUGAGUUUGCAGGUCUGGUUUAGUGCACAUUAAGGGAAUUUGGGGGUAGGUGGGUUUUGUUUUAUUUUAACUCUAAGAACAUUCCAUUACUGGGGAUUGGGGGCUGCCUGGAAACCUUGUUACAGGCCAGGUGAUGGGGGCAGUUUCUGAUGUCAGGGCAGUUGCUGACUAGCUGCCUGAAGCCUGGAUUUGUAGACCUAAUCUCCUGAACUUCCAAUGUGAAGGCUGUCAUGGAGUCAGCCUGUCUCAUCACUAUAUUGCUAUAACUAACUUACCUUAGUAGCCAAAGACAAUAUUAGAUCAUGUAUAUAGAGUCACGUGUAAACUUGUCUUUGGAGAAAAGUCCUUCCAUUUAAUUCUAGAUAAUAUGAAAUAAGACACCGGGGGAAAAAUCAUCAGAGAUAUGCAUGAUCUAGCUUCAAUGCCACAUUUCCAUGAACAUUUGCAGGUCUGCCAUUUCUCUUCUUCUCAUCAAAACAUAUUGAAUCAUUUGUGUCAUGAUUGUUACAAGUACGCAUUUAAAGAAGAAAUUUCUACACCUGCCUUUCCCUAAGAUACAGUCUAGGCCCAUGGAUGCUAUUGCUAUCUGACGAUAUGUGGAGAAUAAAUCAGUUCCUAGCAUCACAGAAAGACUGCUACUCUUUCUUUCUUCCUUUUUUGUUUUUUUACAUAGUGUCUAACUUUCAGCACAGUGUCUUCUAUCCAGCAGGAUCUCGAUAGAUGCGUAUGCUAUGUAACUAUGGGAAGGUUUGUAUAGGAUGAUAAGGUUACAACUAACUUUCUUCUUCUGGCAAAGCAGUUAACUUUCUUCAGUCGGAUGCGAAAGAUGCUAAGUGUUCACCACCAUACCAGGAUUUUCAAAAAAGACUGGGGCAAUCUGUGUAAUUAAAGAAAAUGUGGAGCUCUGUCACGAGAUGGAACACUCAUUAGCUGCUAAGCCUGGGAAAGCCUCUUGAGAGAUAUUGGCAGAUUGAGUUGUGAACAGUUUAAAGGACAGCUGCGGGUUUAACUCAGAUAAAUAUGUUUCCAUGCCUGGAAGAAUUACUGAUACAUCAAAAAGAUGGCAACAGAAGGGAAUCCCUUUUAUUUCCCCAAAUUUCACGAGAGCUCUCAGAAUAAAUAUGAAGAUGUUGCCGAAGUUUCUGGGAGGGGAGAUUUUUAACACUUUUCUAGACUUCCCAGUAUGUUCAGUGAUGUAAAUUGGAAAGCUCCAUAUUAAUGUUUAUCCACUAGGUUAUAGUUGUAAUUAGGCAGGACCUGAGGAUAGAUAUUUCCUAAUGUAGGGCUUUGGAAAGUCUAAAAUCAACCUCGAGGAAGUUGUAAAAAUGGCAACUACAUUCUGAGAAGGCCGGGUAAGGCACAGCAAAUGCCUAAGUGGAGAGAAGAGAUUGAUAAAAGAUCAGAGGAAAACUUGAUAUAGCACAACACAACACUAUUAACAAAAUUAGCCUACUAUACGACUGACUCUUUCUUUAGUAGCCCCAGAAACUCAAGAAACCCUGUGUCCCAUGCAGUAUUUAAACUAGCUUGAGAGCAGGACUUUUACAAGCUCCCGACACAGACAUAUGGAAGAGCUGUCUCCUUACCUCUUUUGCAUGUAGAACUGUGGUUGCAACUGUAUGG